GCUUGCACUGAUUUCAACAAUGAAGCGAGUGGCGAACUGGUGAGUAACACGUGGGGAAUCUGCCCAGAAGCAGGGGAUAACACUUGGAAACAGGUGCUAAUACCGUAUAACAACAAAAUCCGCAUGGAUUUUGUUUGAAAGGUGGCUUCGGCUAUCACUUCUGGAUGAUCCCGCGGCGUAUUAGUUAGUUGGUGAGGUAAAGGCCCACCAAGACGAUGAUACGUAGCCGACCUGAGAGGGUAAUCGGCCACAUUGGGACUGAGACACGGCCCAAACUCCUACGGGAGGCAGCAGUAGGGAAUCUUCCACAAUGGACGAAAGUCUGAUGGAGCAAUGCCGCGUGAGUGAAGAAGGGUUUCGGCUCGUAAAACUCUGUUGUUAAAGAAGAACACCUUUGAGAGUAACUGUUCAAGGGUUGACGGUAUUUAACCAGAAAGCCACGGCUAACUACGUGCCAGCAGCCGCGGUAAUACGUAGGUGGCAAGCGUUGUCCGGAUUUAUUGGGCGUAAAGCGAGCGCAGGCGGUUUUUUAAGUCUGAUGUGAAAGCCUUCGGCUUAACCGGAGAAGUGCAUCGGAAACUGGGAGACUUGAGUGCAGAAGAGGACAGUGGAACUCCAUGUGUAGCGGUGGAAUGCGUAGAUAUAUGGAAGAACACCAGUGGCGAAGGCGGCUGUCUAGUCUGUAACUGACGCUGAGGCUCGAAAGCAUGGGUAGCGAACAGGAUUAGAUACCCUGGUAGUCCAUGCCGUAAACGAUGAGUGCUAAGUGUUGGAAGGGUUUCCGCCCUUCAGUGCUGCAGCUAACGCAUUAAGCACUCCGCCUGGGGGAGUACGACCGCAAGGUUGAAACUCAAAGGAAUUGACGGGGGCCCGCACAAGCGGUGGAACAAGGUGGUUUAAUUCGAAGCUACGCGAAGAACCUUACCAGGUCUUGACAUCUUCUGCCAUCUUAGAAGAUAAGACGUUCCCUUCGGGGACAGAAUGACAGGUGGGGGCAUGGUUGUCGUCAGCUCGUGUCGUGAGAAUUUUUGGGUUAAGUCCCGCAACGAGCGCAACCCUUAUUAUCAGUUGCCAGCAUUCAGUUGGGCACUCUGGUGAGACUGCCGUGAAAACCGAGGAAGGGGGGGGGGGGGAAGUCCAAAUAAUUUUG
rnacentral:rRNA from 2 species